rnacentral:snRNA from 1 species
GAACAUUAUAGUUCUUUUAGGAUUUGUCUAGCAAGUUUUUUUAGUUGCUAUAGGAAAACACAA